rnacentral:rRNA from 1 species
AGCAGUAGCCGCGGUAAAACGAAGGGGGCUGGCGUUGCUCGGAAUUACUGGGCGUAAAGGGUGCGUAGGCGGACAGUUCAGUCGGGGGUGAAAGCCCGGGGCUCAACCUCGGAAUUGCCUUCGAUACUGGCUGUCUUGAGUAUGAGAGAGGUGUGUGGAACUCCGAGUGUAGAGGUGAAAUUCGUAGAUAUUCGGAAGAACACCAGUGGCGAAGGCGACACACUGGCUCAUUACUGACGCUGAGGCGCGAAAGCGUGGGGAGCAAACAGGAUUAGAUACCCGAGUAGUCCCUGUCUCUUAUAA